UACGUAGGCAGCAAGCGUUGUUCGGAGUUACUGGGCGUAAAGGGUGCGUAGGCGGCUUCUUAAGUCUGGUGUGAAAUCUCCCGGCUCAACUGGGAGGGUGCGCCGGAUACUGAGGGGCUAGAGUGUGGGAGUGGAAAGUGGAAUUCCUGGUGUAGCGGUGAAAUGCGUAGAUAUCAGGAGGAACACCUGUGGCGAAAGCGGCGCACUGGACCACAACUGACGCUGAGGCGCGAAAGCUAGGGGAGCAAACAGG
rnacentral:rRNA from 1 species